UGGAGCAUGUGGUUUAUUCGAUGCACGCGAAGAACCUUACCUGGUCUUGACAUCCAUAGAAUCUUUCAGAGAUGAGAGAGUGCCUUCGGGAGCUAUGAGACAGGUGCUGCAUGGCUGUCGUCAGCUCGUGUUGUGAAAUGUUGGGUUAAGUCCCGCAACGAGCGCAACCCCUAUCCUUUGUUGCCAGCACGUAAUGGUGGGAACUCAAAGGAGACUGCCGUUGAUAAAGCGGAGGAAGGUGGGGACGACGUCAAGUCAUCAUGGCCCUUACGGCCAGGGCUACACACGUGCUACAAUGGCGUAUACAAAGGGAUGCGAAGGUGCGAACUGGAGCGGACCUCACAAAGUACGUCUAAGUCCGGAUUGGAGUCUGCAACUCGACUCCAUGAAGUCGGAAUCGCUAGUAAUCGUGAAUCAGAAUGUCACGGUGAAUACGUUCCCGGGCCUUGUACACACCGCCCGUCACACCAUGGGAGUGGGUUGCACCAGAAGUAGAUAGCUUAACCUUCGGGAGGGCGUUUACCACGGUGUGGUUCAUGACUGGGGUGAAGUCGUAACAAGGUAACCA
rnacentral:rRNA from 1 species